rnacentral:rRNA from 1 species
UACGUAGGGGGCAAGCGUUAUCCGGAUUUACUGGGUGUAAAGGGAGCGUAGACGGCGAUGCAAGUCUGAAGUGAAAGGCGGGGGCCCAACCCCCGGACUGCUUUGGAAACUGUAUAGCUGGAGUGCAGGAGAGGUAAGUGGAAUUCCUAGUGUAGCGGUGAAAUGCGUAGAUAUAUGGAAGAACACCAGUGGCGAAAGCGGCUCUCUGGUCUGUAACUGACGCUGAGGUUCGAAAGCGUGGGUAGCAAACAGG